GCUAGUGUGGUGUAAUGGUUUGAACACUGGACUCUGGAGACCAGGGUUCAAGUCCCUGCUCUGCCA